CAGCCGCCGCGGUAAUACGAAGGGUGCAAGCGUUACUCGGAAUUACUGGGCGUAAAGCGUGCGUAGGUGGUGGUUUAAGUCCGUUGUGAAAGCCCUGGGCUCAACCUGGGAAUUGCAGUGGAUACUGGGUCACUAGAGUGUGGUAGAGGAUAGUGGAAUUUCCGGUGUAGCAGUGAAAUGCGUAGAGAUCGGAAGGAACAUCUGUGGCGAAGGCGGCUAUCUGGGCCAACACUGACACUGAGGCACGAAAGCGUGGGGAGCAAACAGGAUUAGAUACCCCAGUAGUCCCUGUCUCUUAUAC
rnacentral:rRNA from 1 species